ACUGUAAACCCUAUUUAACCCCGUACGCCUCACUCUUCUUCACCAGCACAACGGUUUCUUCUCGAUCGAUUGUUUUCCAUGUUCGAGUUCCCAAAAUUCAACAAAUACAUGUUUGAAUUCGAUCUAUUCAUAUCGCUUACGGAUGGCUUACCAACGCAUUGCAUAUCUACAGAUUGCUUUAGUGUCAAAUGGUCCUUCCUAUAUUCUUUUUCCAUUUCAAAGUUGUUCUCUGAGUUGAAUUUGUUUUUGUUUUCAAAUUUGUAUGUGUUACAUUGAAAUGGCAGAUGAUGAAAUUUCAGUUCUAUGCUUAACACACUGAUUAAACCGUGGUGACUACAAACUCCGCUUAUUAUCUGAUGCCAUAUUAUUUGUUAUUUCAGCUUUUAAUUCUAAUUAUUACAUCGUAUUUGUUCAAAUGUUGGAUGAGGAAGGCAAAUGAUGCUACACAAAAAUCUUAUACUACACACUGAAUAUUUUGGUGUUGAAAACAAUUCUCAUUUACUGUCUGAUGCUUUGCCUUUUUCCAGAUCUUGUUAUUGACUUUGCAUCGUCUUAAAGUUUUUGUUACCUUUUUUAGUAAGAUUGUUAAUAGUGUUUUCAAUUAAUUGCUGUUUGAUUCGGUGAUGAGAUUAAGCAGACGGGCGGUCUGAAAUGAUGCCAUGUUGAUUGUCUGCGUCAUAUCCAAAUUUUUGGAUUCAGCUCUGAGAGUUUCUUCUUUGAUUUCGUUCUUGAUUUUGGAGUGCUUUUUGUGGAUUUUUUUGAUUUAAAGGAAUUUCGUUUUAUGCUAUGAUGAUUAUGCAAAUUUAUGUCUGGACAUAUGAGACAUUGUCAUUGAAAUGAAGCGCAUACUUCUGAGC